rnacentral:sRNA from 1 species
AAGGUUUCCGUAGGUGAACCUGCGGAAGGAUCAUUACUGAGUGAGGGUCCCUCGGGGCCCAACCUCCCACCCGUGUAUGCCGUACCUUGUUGCUUCGGCGGGCCCGCCGCGCAUGCGGCCGCCGGGGGGGCUUCAAACCCCUCCCUGGGCGAGCGCCCGCCGGAGACACCAACGUGAACACUGUCUGAAGUUUUGUUGUCUGAGUUCGAUUGUAUCGCAAUCAGUUAAAACUUUCAACAAUGGAUCUCUUGGUUCCGGCAUCGAUGAAGAACGCAGCGAAAUGCGAUAAUUAAUGUGAAUUGCAGAAUUCAGUGAAUCAUCGAGUCUUUGAACGCACAUUGCACCCCCUGGUAUUCCGGGGGGUAUGCCUGUCCGAGCGUCAUUGCUGCCCUCAAGCACGGCUUGUGUGUUGGGUCGUCGUCCCCCCCGGGGGACGGGCCCGAAAGGCAGCGGCGGCACCGCGUCCGGUCCUCGAGCGUAUGGGGCUCUGUCACCCGCUCUUGUAGGCCCGGCCGGCGCUGGCCGACGCUGAAAAGCAACCAAUUACUUUCUCCAGGUUGACCUCGGAUCAGGUAGGGAUACCCGCUGAACUUAAGCAUAU